UACGUAGGGUGCGAGCGUUAAUCGGAAUUACUGGGCGUAAAGUGUGCGCAGGCGGCCGCGCAAGUCGAGUGUGAAAGCCCCGAGCUUAACUUGGGAACUGCGCUCGAAACUACGUGGCUGGAGUGUGGCAGAGGAAGGUGGAAUUCCUGGUGUAGCGGUGAAAUGCGCAGAUAUCAGGAGGAACACCAAUUGCGAAGGCAGCUCGCUGGGACGUUACUGACGCUGAGACGCGAAAGCGUGGGGAGCAAACAGG
rnacentral:rRNA from 1 species